rnacentral:lncRNA from 1 species
GGGUCACACAAUAAAGGGAUUAGGUCUGAAAUAAGUAAUUGAGCUUAUGAAGUGUCAAUUGAGUUUAGAGAAAUCCAUUGGGUUCUUGAUAAUCUUGCUAGCACAUAGUUAGAUCCAAUUUCUCUUUUUUUUUGAGAUUACUUAUUUGAUAAGAUAAUUCUAACUUAAUUAUCUACUUAUAACCUGCAUGAAUAAGAUUCAUGAGACUCCAACUGU